AGUGAACGCUGGCGGCAGGCCUAAUACAUGCAAGUCGAACGGCAGCACAGCAGAGCUUGCUCUGUGGGUGGCGAGUGGCGGACGGGUGAGGAAUACAUGGGAAUCUGCCCAGUCGUGGGGAUAACGUAGGGAAACUUACGCUAAUACCGCAUGCGCCCUUCGGGGAAAGCCGGGGACCUUCGGGCCUGGCGCGAUUGGAUGAGCCCAUGUCGGAUUAGCUAGUUGGCGGGGUAAUGGCCCACCAAGGCGACGAUCCGUAGCUGGUCUGAGAGGAUGAUCAGCCACACUGGAACUGAGACACGGUCCAGACUCCUACGGGAGGCAGCAGUAGGGAAUAUUGGACAAUGGGCGCAAGCCUGAUCCAGCCAUGCCGCGUGAGUGAAGAAGGCCCUCGGGUUGUAAAGCUCUUUUGUCCGGAAAGAAAAGCGCCGGGUUAAUACCCCUGGUGUCCUGACGGUACCGGAAGAAUAAGCACCGGCUAACUUCGUGCCAGCAGCCGCGGUAAUC
rnacentral:rRNA from 1 species